UACGUAGGGGGCAAGCGUUGUCCGGAUUUAUUUGGCGUAAAGAGCGUGUAGGCGGCUAGGUAGGUCCGUUGUGAAAACUCGAGGCUCAACCUCGAGACGUCGAUGGAAACCAUCUAGCUAGAGUCCGGAAGAGGAGAGUGGAAUUCCUGGUGUAGCGGUGAAAUGCGCAGAUAUCAGGAAGAACACCCGUGGCGAAGGCGGCUCUCUGGUACGUGACUGACGCUGAGACGCGAAAGCGUGGGGAGCAAACAGG
rnacentral:rRNA from 1 species